UGCUUUGUACUCUUUUUUGUUUUCUUUUUUUAGGUUUUAUUGUGCAGGGUUUAUAUGAGAACUUUUUCAAUGAGUAGUAGAUGCAGAUAACUUUUGUUUGUCCUGGUUUUAGUUUUAGUCUCCCGUAGUAAAGGAUCUAGAAAUUUCGGUUAGUGGGAGCUAAAAACUAAGCAUAUAUUACACUAAAGAAAAAUAAUAUGAACUUUUACAAAAUAUAUAAUUAUUGGGUU
rnacentral:lncRNA from 1 species